GGGCUGGGUGUGGUUGGUUGAGUA
rnacentral:miRNA from 1 species